rnacentral:rRNA from 1 species
UACGUAGGGUGCGAGCGUUAAUCGGAAUUACUGGGCGUAAAGGGUGCGCAGGCGGUCCUGCAAGUCAGGCGUGAAAUCCCCGGGCUUAACCUGGGAAUGGCACUUGAAACUACGGGACUGGAGUAUGGCAGAGGGAGGUGGAAUUCCACGUGUAGCGGUGAAAUGCGUAGAUAUCGGGAGGAACAUCAGUGGCGAAGGCGGCUGCCUGGCCCAAUACUGACACUCAGGUGCGACAGCGUGGGGAGCAAACAGG